rnacentral:rRNA from 1 species
UACAGAGGUCCCAAGCGUUGUUCGGAUUCAUUGGGCGUAAAGGGUGCGUAGGUGGCAUGGUAAGUCGGGUGUGAAAUCCCGGGGCUCAACCCCGGAACUGCACUCGAUACUGCCGUGCUCGAGUACUGGAGAGGAGACUGGAAUUUACGGUGUAGCAGUGAAAUGCGUAGAUAUCGGAAGGAACGCCGGUGGCGAAAGCGAGCAACUGGAUCUCUUCUGACGCUGAGGCGCGAAAGCUAGGGGAGCAAACGGG